UACGAAGGGGGCUAGCGUUGUUCGGAAUCACUGGGCGUAAAGCGCACGUAGGCGGAUCUUUAAGUCAGAGGUGAAAUCCCAAGGCUCAACCUUGGAACUGCCUUUGAUACUGGGGAUCUUGAGUCCGGGAGAGGUGAGUGGAACUGCGAGUGUAGAGGUGAAAUUCGUAGAUAUUCGCAAGAACACCAGUGGCGAAGGCGGCUCACUGGCCCGGUACUGACGCUGAGGUGCGAAAGCGUGGGGAGCGAACAG
rnacentral:rRNA from 1 species